rnacentral:tRNA from 1 species
GCCCCUGUAGCUCAGUUGGAAAGAGCGACAGUUUCCUAAACUGUAGGUCGUGAGUUCGAAUCUCACCAGGGGCA